rnacentral:rRNA from 1 species
CAGUAGCCGCGGUAAAACGGAGGGGGCUAGCGUUGUUCGGAAUUACUGGGCGUAAAGCGCACGUAGGCGGCUUGGUAAGUUAGAGGUGAAAGCCCGGAGCUCAACUCCGGAAUUGCCUUUAAGACUGCCGAGCUAGCAGGUGAGAGAGGUAAGUGGAAUUCCGAGUGUAGAGGUGAGAUUCGUAGAUAUUCGGAAGAACACCAGUGGCGAAGGCGGCUUACUGGCUCAUACUGGACGCUGAGGUGCGAAAGCGUGGGGAGCAAACAGGAUUAGAUACCCCCGUAGUCCCUGUCUCUUAUAC